rnacentral:rRNA from 1 species
GACGAACGCCGGCGGCGUGCUUAACACAUGCAAGUCGAGCGGAAAGGCCCUUCGGGGUCCUCGAGCGGCGAACGGGUGAGUAACACGUGAGUAACCUGCCCCAGACUUUGGGAUAACCCUCGGAAACGGGGGCUAAUACCGGAUACGACACAGCUUCGCAUGGGGUCUGUGUGGAAAGUUUUUCGGUUUGGGAUGGGCUCGCGGCCUAUCAGCUUGUUGGUGGGGUGAUGGCCUACCAAGGCGACGACGGGUAGCCGGCCUGAGAGGGCGACCGGCCACACUGGGACUGAGACACGGCCCAGACUCCUACGGGAGGCAGCAGUGGGGAAUAUUGCACAAUGGGCGGAAGCCUGAUGCAGCGACGCCGCGUGAGGGAUGACGGCCUUCGGGUUGUAAACCUCUUUCAGCAGGGACGAAGCGUAAGUGACGGUACCUGCAGAAGAAGCGCCGGCCAACUACGUG